UGCACACUUUAAUUUGCGAUUCUGCUGGUUUGUUUGAUUGUGCCUCGUGCAUAAACACAUACAUAUGCAUACACCUGCGUGGCGAGCGUUGUGCAAAUAAUACAAAUUGCAUUCUGUUCGGUUCCGAUGUUGAAAAAUAUUAUCAUAAUAAUAUUUGUUACGCAGUAAAACAAAAGCAAACAACGGUAACAAUCGGAAACGGGCUCAAACAGCGACGGUGCAACG